CCACUGUUUAUAAAUAAACUAGUUCUAUCAAACUUUGGUAAAGUGACUCGCAAGUGUUAAUUAAUGUUCGAUUAAUAUUUGGGUCAAUAAGCAUUCUCUGCAGCAAAAUCUAAGUUACUGUAUUGUGGCAAUGAGCUGGAAUAAUAUCAUGCACUUGCUUCUCAAGUUCCUUCCAAACUAUCAAAAUACAAAUCACUGGAAAGACUCAUUGUAGCCGACAAAUGUACUGAAGAGUCC